rnacentral:rRNA from 1 species
GAAAGGAGCGGUAAUACCGCAUGAGACCUAUCGCUGGGAUGCGAUAGAUGAAAGCUGGGGAUCGUAAGACCUAGCGCUGAGAGAGAGUCCUGCGUCUGAUUAGUUAGUUGGUGAGGUAACGGCUCACCAAGACUUCGAUCAGUAGCCGGCCUGAGAGGGCGAUCGGCCACACUGGAACUGAGACAC